rnacentral:misc_RNA from 1 species
AAAGUCGUAACAAGGUAACCGUAGGUGAACCUGCGGUUGGAUCAUUAACAAAGUGGGAUGCUUUAGAGCGUCCCUUGGGCGCAAGCCCAAUAAACCUUGUGCAAUUUGGCAGGACAUGGACGGAAGGACUUACGUCUCGGAGCCCUAGGCCUGCCCAUGUAUAAACAAACUCUUAUAACGUCUGAAUGAGAAACACACCAAUGAGAAACAACUUUUGACAACGGAUCUCUUGGCUCUC